rnacentral:rRNA from 1 species
GACGAACGCUGGCGGCGUGCUUAACACAUGCAAGUCGAGCGAUGAAGUUUCUUCGGAAAUGGAUUAGCGGCGAACGGGUGAGGAACACGUGAAGAAUCUGCCCUCCACUUUGGGAUAACACCGGGAAACCGGUGCUAAUACUGAAUAUUGAAACAUAAGUGGCAUCACUGAGUUUUGAAAGAAUUUCGGUGGAGGAUGACUUCGCGGCCUAUCAGCUAGUUGGUGAGGUAAUGGCUCACGAAGGCAACGACGGGUAGCCGGCCUGCGAGGGCGACCGGCCACACUGGGACUGAGACACGGCCCAGACUCCUACGGGAGGCAGCAGUGGGGAAUAUUGGGCAAUGGAGGAAACUCUGACCCAGCGACGCCGCGUGCGGGAUGAAGGCCUUCGGGUUGUAAACCGCUUUCAGUAGGGAAGAAGCGAAAGUGACGGUACCUACAAAAGAAGCACCGGCUAACUAUGUGCCAGCCGCCGCCGUAA